rnacentral:rRNA from 1 species
CGAGAAAGCCCGCAAGGGUGAGUACAGCGGCGAACGGGUGCGUAACACGUGGGUAAUCUGCCCUGAAGUCCGGAAUAACUCGCCGAAAGGCGUGCUAAUGCCGGAUGAGACCACGGGAGCCUCGGCUCCUGCGGGAAAAGGUGGCCUCUGUAUACAAGCUAUCGCUUCAGGAUGAGCCCGCGGCCCAUCAGCUCGUUGGCGGGGUAAUGGCCCACCAAGGCUACGACGGGUAGCUGGUCUGAGAGGACGAUCAGCCACACUGGAACUGAGACACGGUCCAGACUCCUACGGGAGGCAGCAGUGGGGAAUCUUGCGCAAUGGGCGAAAGCCUGACGCAGCAACGCCGCGUGUGUGAUGAAGGUCUUCGGAUCGUAAAGCACUGUCGCGAGGGACG